rnacentral:tRNA from 1 species
GCCGAUGUAGCUCAGCUCGGUAGAGCAACGCAUUCGUAAUGCGCAGGUCGUAGGUUCAAAUCCUAUCAUCGGCA